GGGGCGCUCGAGUGGCGAACGGGUGAGUAACACGUGAGUAACCUGCCCUUGACUUUGGGAUAACUUCAGGAAACUGGGGCUAAUACCGGAUAGGAGCUCCUGCUGCAUGGUGGGGGUUGGAAAGUUUCGGCGGUUGGGGAUGGACUCGCGGCUUAUCAGCUUGUUGGUGGGGUAGUGGCUUACCAAGGCUUUGACGGGUAGCCGGCCUGAGAGGGUGACCGGCCACAUUGGGACUGAGAUACGGCCCAG
rnacentral:rRNA from 1 species